rnacentral:rRNA from 1 species
AUUGAACGCUGGCGGCAUGCUUUACACAUGCAAGUCGAACGGUAACAGGCCGCAAGGUGCUGACGAGUGGCGAACGGGUGAGUAAUGCAUCGGAACGUGCCCAGUCGUGGGGGAUAACUACUCGAAAGAGUAGCUAAUACCGCAUACGAUCUAUGGAUGAAAGCGGGGGACCGUAAGGCCUCGCGCGAUUGGAGCGGCCGAUGUCAGAUUAGGUAGUUGGUGGGGUAAAGGCUCACCAAGCCAACGAUCUGUAGCUGGUCUGAGAGGACGACCAGCCACACUGGGACUGAGACACGGCCCAGACUCCUACGGGAGGCAGCAGUGGGGAAUUUUGGACAAUGGGCGCAAGGCUGAUCCAGCAAUGCCGCGUGCAGGAAGAAGGCCUUCGGGUUGUAAACUGCUUUUGUACGGAACGAAACGGCUCUGGUUAAUACCCGGGGCUAAUGACGGUACCGUAAGAAUAAGCACCGGCUAACUACGUG